rnacentral:rRNA from 1 species
GUCUGCAACUCGACCACACGAAGCUGGAAUCGCUAGUAAUCGCGAAUCAGCAUGUCGCGGUGAAUACGUUCCCGGGUCUUGUACACACCGCCCGUCACACCAUGGGAGCCGGUAAUACCCGAAGUCAGUAGUCCAACCUCGUGAGGACGCUGCCGAAGGUAGGAUUGGCGACUGGGGUGAAGUCGUAACAAGGUACC